AAGAAGAAGAAGAAGAAGACGGCGGCGGCGGCGGAGAGUCCCAAGUGAGAUCUGCGUGGAACAGAACCAGGAGACCCUAAGCAAUAUGGCCUGUGUCCAGCAAGUGGCAGCAGUAGGACAGGUUCUGGUGAACCCAGGACUGGACCUCGCCCGGCGCUUCAGAGCCUUAUUCACCCUGAAGAAUCUGGGAGGUGCUGAAGCUAUAGAAUGGAUCAGUAAGGCCUUUACUGACGAGUCUGCCCUGCUGAAGCACGAGCUGGCCUACUGCCUGGGACAGAUGCAGGACAGACGGGCCAUACCCACUUUGACUGCAGUACUCAAAGAUGCACAGCAGGAACCGAUGGUCAGGCAUGAAGCAGGGGAGGCUCUGGGAGCAAUCGGUGAUCCUGUGGUUCUGGACUUACUGAAAGAGUACAGUCAGGAUCCUGUCACUGAGGUUGCAGAGACGUGUCAGUUGGCUGUCCGUCGGUUGGAGUGGCUGCAGAGUGGAGGAGAGAAAGAGUUGGAUGAUGGACGUACAGAUAAGAACCCCUACUGCUCUGUAGACCCGGCCCCUCCAGCAGUGAGAAAGAGUGUGCAAGAGCUACGCUCCAUCCUGUUGGAUGAGAGUCUGCCACUCUUUGAACGCUACCGUGCCAUGUUUGCUCUUCGUAACCUGGGCAACGAGGAGGCUGUGCUGGCCCUGGGCGAUGGCCUCCAAUGCUCCAGUGCUCUGUUCCGUCAUGAGAUCGGUUAUGUCCUGGGUCAGAUGCAGCACCCUGCAGCGGUCCCAGCCCUGUGUUCAGCUCUGGAGCGUUCUGGUGAGAACCCCAUGGUUCGACAUGAGGCAGCAGAGGCUCUUGGCUCCAUCGGCAAAAAGGAGUGUCUGGCUGUGCUGCAGCGUUACUGUGGAGACGGAGAACGUGUCGUCAAGGAGAGCUGCGAGGUCGCUCUGGAUAUGCUCGAGUACGAAAACAGCGACCAGUUCCAGUAUGCAGAUGGACUGGUCAGGUUACAGGGUUAAAGUUCAUUAUCACAACCGAAGGGGCUUUCACUCAAAUAUCAUUUUUUACUUUUACUCUCUGCGCUGUUUCUGUAUUACAUUAUACAGCAGAGACAGCUGGACAACUCAGUGCUACGUCAGUAAAACUACUGAAUCCUCUGGGAAGCUGAAGCUUUACAGUAUGAAAAAUACUUGUCACUUAAAAUCAGAAAUGAAACCUUGAAAGCCCAGGAGCUGAAGGAGAUGCAGGAGUGAGCUUAUAGAUCUUAGGUGUGCGGGUGUUGCAGUAUCGGUGGACAGGGAGGAGCAGAGUUUUUUUGUGGUCUGUCCAAUAUACCACUGCAUUCAGAUACAGCAAAUUUGCAAUGUAUGUAACGUAUGCUUUUUUUUCCCCUAACACACAGCCAGUGAAGGUAGAUUGUAACACACAGCAUAUUGUAUGUGUUUGAGGAGUAUGUAACAGCUCGGGGCUAACUUCAUAUUUUACCUGGAAGUGUUUUUUGUUGUUUUCCUCUGGGCCAUAUACUACUUCUCUGCUAUCAUUUGAAGUUUUGUGGAAACUACAGCACCUCCAGUUUGCUCACAUUCUCUGCUCAGCUUCAGCUCCCAAUUUGAUGAUUUCUACUGAAGGGCUUUUCUUCUGUUGUCUGGGAGCUGUAUGUGAUCAUACGAUGAGACGAGUUCUAUAUGGACUGGUUCUAAAUUUAAGAAAUGUUUCAGGUCCAGGUGCACUACAAUUGAUCAGGCCUGAUGUCAGUUAAUUCUACUAUAACUAGUCCCACAGCUCAAGAUUUUGGAGGCGGCGCUCUACAACACCCACCAUUAAAACACCAACUGAGGAAAUAUCUUUUGGAAGAAUAACCGCAUAAAAGCAGUGUAUUUUACCACAGUAUGUGAAAGUGAGUGGAACUAACUAGCAGAACUGUGGCAUGAUGAUGGACAGGUCUUUCUGUGAAUGUUAUGACUUUUUUUCCCUUCAUGAAAGCCUUGAAGUCUGUGGUUGCUGUCUGAAUCCAAGCCCACCACAGUUUGUGUUCUCAGUCUAAGAAGGAACUUCAAACUUUUGUUUAGUCUUCUUUGACGCCUGUGUGGUAUACACAAUCACCAGUAUUCUCGUCUUAUGUAAAAUGCGCUCUGGGCUGUGACGGCUGUACACCAGUGAAGGAAAUAAUGUCAUUAAAGGCCAAUGCUCUU